rnacentral:rRNA from 1 species
AUUGAACGCUGGCGGCAUGCUUUACACAUGCAAGUCGAACGGUAACAGGUUAAGCUGACGAGUGGCGAACGGGUGAGUAAUGCAUCGGAACGUGCCCGAUCGUGGGGGAUAACACUUCGAAAGAAGUGCUAAUACCGCAUACGAUCUGAGGAUGAAAGCGGGGGACCGUAAGGCCUCGCGCGAUCGGAGCGGCCGAUGUCAGAUUAGGUAGUUGGUGGGGUAAAGGCCUACCAAGCCGACGAUCUGUAGCUGGUCUGAGAGGACGACCAGCCACACUGGGACUGAGACACGGCCCAGACUCCUACGGGAGGCAGCAGUGGGGAAUUUUGGACAAUGGGCGCAAGCCUGAUCCAGCAAUGCCGCGUGCAGGAAGAAGGCCUUCGGGUUGUAAACUGCUUUUGUACGGAGCGAAAAGGCUCUCUCUAAUACAGGGGGCUGAUGACGGUACCGUAAGAAUAAGCACCGGCUAACUACGUGCCAGCCGCCGCAGUAA